GUCCCUUCGAGGACAUCCACUACAAUUGGAAUGAUAUAGAGAAUGUUAGAAAUUUUUCUCUAAUUGCACCUAUUACAGCAACUUAAAAGAUUAUUGUCAGUUCAAAUGGAAGGAAAAAAAAUGUGUGCAUGGCUCAUGUGUAAGGAUGACACGUACAAAUUGAGAAGUAGUCCAAUUUUUU
rnacentral:snRNA from 1 species